rnacentral:rRNA from 1 species
AUUGAACGCUGGCGGCAUGCCUUACACAUGCAAGUCGAACGGCAGCACGGGAGCAAUCCUGGUGGCGAGUGGCGAACGGGUGAGUAAAGUAUCGGAACGUGCCCAGUCGUGGGGGAUAACGUAGCGAAAGUUACGCUAAUACCGCAUACGAUCUAUGGAUGAAAGCGGGGGAUCGCAAGACCUCGCGCGAUUGGAGCGGCCGAUAUCAGAUUAGGUAGUUGGUGGGGUAAAGGCUCACCAAGCCGACGAUCUGUAGCUGGUCUGAGAGGACGACCAGCCACACUGGGACUGAGACACGGCCCAGACUCCUACGGGAGGCAGCAGUGGGGAAUUUUGGACAAUGGGCGAAAGCCUGAUCCAGCCAUGCCGCGUGCAGGAUGAAGGCCUUCGGGUUGUAAACUGCUUUUGUACGGAACGAAAAGGUUUGACUUAAUACGUUGGACUCAUGACGGUACCGUAAGAAUAAGCACCGGCUAACUACGUGCCAGCAGCCGCGGUAA